GACCGCGUAGCUCAGCUGGCAGAGCAUUGGGCUAGUAUUCCAAAGGCCGUGGGUUCGAUUCCCACCGUGGCCA
rnacentral:tRNA from 1 species